rnacentral:rRNA from 1 species
GAGGAUUCCCCUAGUAAACUGCGAGUGAAGCGGGAAAAGCUCAAAUUUGAAAUCUGGCAGUCCUCUGGCUGUCCGAGUUGUAAACUAGAGAAGUGUUACCCGCGUUGGACCGUGUACAAGUCUCCUGGAAUGGAGCGUCAUAGAGGGUGAGAAUCCCGUCUUUGACACGGACUACCAAGGCUUUGUGGUACGCUCUCAAAGAGUCGAGUUGUUUGGGAAUGCAGCUCAAAAUGGGUGGUAAAUGCCAUCUAAAGCUAAAUAUUGGCGAGAGACCGAUAGCGAACAAGUACCGUGAGGGAAAGAUGAAAAGAACUUUGGAAAGAGAGUUAAACAGUACGUGAAAUUGCUGAAAGGGAAACGCUUAAAGUCAGUCGCGUCGGCUUGGAAUCAACCUUGCUUUUGCUGGGUGUACUUCCUUGUCGAUGGGUCAACAUCAGUUUUGACCGGUGGAUAAAGUCAGUCGGAAUGUGGCUCCCUCGGGAGUGUUAUAGCCUUCUGUCGCAUGCAUCGGUUGGGACUGAGGACCGCAGCACGCCGUUAAGGCCUGGUUUCGACCAAGUUCGUGCUUAGGAUGUUGGCAUAAUGGCUUUAAUCGACCCGUCUUGAAACACGGACCAAGG